CUGGCACAGUGCACAGCUCAUCCAACGGGUCUACUUGUGCGGUUGAUGUGCUUUGGCACAAAUCAGACACACAAAGUCUUGACAUCUGGCCAAGACGUACCCUGUGUGGGUUUGACAAUAAGAGAAAGAAGCAGGGACAGUCGGGGAGGAAGAUCGGAAGAUGGAACAAGAGGAGACGGGGGGAGAUAAAAAUGCCGAGUUUAGCUCACACGAGCAAGAGUAGACACAUUCAUUUGCGGGAUAGAGGAUCAAACGCUAUCGGAGGUUGCUGGGGAAGGAGACGGAGACAAAAGCAGAUUCAAUGACAUCAUUGGAGUUGGUUUGUGCAUGUGUUGUACUAGAGCAUGUGCUGGGCAGAAGGGAGGGCCGAGAGCGAAGCCGUGACGUAUUGUAAUCUGGAAUACUGAGAAGCCCAGCUGUGCAGAAUCUGGGCAAAACGAGGGCUUAUGUUACAUCACGCACCCACACACACACACACACACACACACACACACACACACACACGCACGCACACACGCACACAUAGCUUUUCGUGAGUCCUGAAGGAACACAACUGUCACUAGGGAGAAGAGUCGGCAGGCUUGGCUCGCGUGUGUGUACGUUGUUUGCAGAUUCUAACCCUCGUUUUGAUGUCCUCUUCACUACAAAAUGCCUGUGAAUAUUGCCUCCACCCAUCAACACCAUUUACCGUCCUCUUCCUCAGUGUUGCCGUUCCCCCCCCCCUGGGAAGGAAGCAGUAUUGCCAGAUGGAGCCGUGGUCAGCUUCAAGUUGGGAGCCGCGGCCCAGGAUGGGCAAUUUGGACCCCACUCUGUGGCGGCAAUUUGUUCAGGACAGAAAUAACUCGGUCUUGAACUGAAAAUACACUGUGUUUCUAAUGCACCUCCACCCAAACGGGCGAUGGCACAAUCUCUGCAUAGAGGAGAGGAAAAAUACUAUUUGUAGCUCCACAACCAUGUUUGGCAAUGACUUCAAGAAAAGAAAAUAACUUUUACCACGUCAACCUCCCUUCUUUGCCGGUUAUUUUUUACCAUCAGCGGGCAACUACUGUACUCCUUUCCAUCAAAAUCAAACGUUAUUUUUAGAAUUCAUUCAAACCCUUAAUGAAAUCACUUUUGUGCUCCGAAGAGUCUGAUGUAUUCACGCUUCUGUGAGUGUUAAGACGCAGUCAUACACAUGAAUACAUCCCCGGUGGUUUACCCAUUCGCUGAGUUGAAGCUAUGAAAAAUGAAUGUUUAUUCACAACUUGCGCGAGGGCAUGUUUACCCUCGACGGUUGCAUGAUUAUUUG
ensembl:lncRNA